AACAAUCUUCCCCUUUUUGAUGAUGACAAAAAUUUAUGAUAUAAAAUUUUUUAAGCACAUCUUGUAGUAAAGAAUUGUACUGAUCAAACCAGUUAUGUAAAUCACUGGUAUAAUGCAUUUUUAUUAUUAAGCUCAUUGUUAUGAGAAUAAUGUUGUAUAUCCUAAGUUUUCUCCUUUUGGACAUCAACAAAAAUGCAUAAUAUACAAGUUCCCCCUGCGAAGAUACUCCCCUUUCAUGAUGAAGUAUAUCUACGAUAAAUAUGAUGAAAGCUGCUAAAAUGAAUAUUGAAUCAAGGAAGGUGAGGCAAGCAAUCAGGAAAGAGAUGGUGAGACACCCAUAUCAGUUGUGUUUUCUCUCUUCUUCAUAGAUUAUUAUCAUGGGAAAGGAAUCAUGAUGACAAGAAAAAAAGGAUACUUCAUCGUAGAAGCAUGAUCAAGAAUAAUAAUCAUUUUCGAUGACAUGAGCAAGAAUAGUUGUACUUCUUGUUGUUUGUGAAUAUCAAGUUUGAUGAUGUUGCUCUUUCGUGUUUUAGAUUUAGACUGUAUGAAUUAGGUUGUAUACUACAUCUUUCUUCUUAAACAAAGUGAUGAUGAUAGGCUGAAACUAGAAGAAAGAAAGAAAGAUUUAGCUUUCAGUGUAUGAAGAUUGAGAACAGAAUAUGUGCGUGGCAAUCAAAAGACAAGUGAAUAGUAUUUAUGAGAUUUGACAGGGAAUAUGUGUGAGUGACGCAUGUGAUGACGCCAUGUAUCUUGACCAAUAAAAAAUACAAAAAAAUAAAAAAAUCGCAAUCAAAGGAUUGGUCAGUGGUAGAUGCGGCUGUGAUCAGAUAGGACGAUUUUAGGCCAUAUUUUGUCAAAAACAAAUCUCUUUCCUAGAUCGCCAAAAAUAGUUCUCUUCUUCUUUCUCCUUCCGGUUCUUUGAAAAAAAUAAAAUGUCAUUUACUGAUACCAGUUUCUUUCAUUAGUUUUCAAAAAUGGCUUCUUCUCUUCUCAAAAAAAUUUGAUUAUGAAUGCUGUGCCUAAUGUAGCAAACCAGAAAUUGGCUCAUCAUCGUUAUCCAAAAAGGUCCUCUCAUGACUAAUGCUGCGGGACCCUGGAUGAUGCAGUGCUGCACCAGGAGCUAAAGGGAGGGAUAUUAAUCCACAAGAUGAAAGUUAUUGCGAAUAAGACUGUGUUCGAAGCCAAUAAUUACUCCAUGGAACUCAGAUUCAGUGGCUUUCUUAUGUUUCAAAUAUGGCUCGAGUCCUAUAUGUUCGAGGGAAUGACGGUUUUAAAAGAGCUAAGGACUCAAGUUUGAGUUGAAAUGAAAGAAUAGAGGUCUUCAAGCGGAGAAUAAAGAGUUAAAGAAACUUGUAGAUUCAUAGGUAAUGACUGGAAAGAAUAUUAGGAACUGGAGAUGAACACCAAACCGUCUUUAGGAAAGCAACCUGAGAGUCUCUUACUCGAAAUCAGAAAAGUCUUAAGAUUUUCUUGGCCCAAGAAGAAGCUUAAAUAAUGUAUUUAUAUUCAAAAUAGUCAAUUUUUUUUUCAUAAGAGAAAAAUAUAAAUGAAAUAUAUGCAAUAUUGUACAUCUAAACAACCAAGUUCCGAUGAAUGGUUGUGCAGAAACGAUCCCUCUCGCAAAUGGUUUGUGAAGAUGUAAGCCCAUGGGAAAAUCAGUACUUAUAAACUCUAUUUCUACAUCUCCUUUUUUAACAUGAUCACGAAUAAAAGUAGUGUCUAAGUUUAAUUAUGUUUGUUCGUGAGUGAAGAAUAGGGUUUAAAAAUAUUUUUAUGGCACUAAUAUUAUCACAUCUAAUGGGUACUAUGAUCCAAACUGUAAGUUAAAAUCUUAAGUUAUUGCUUCAUAUAAAGAACUUGAGCACAACAAUGUUCUGCGGGCCAAUAUAUUAGCUCAGUAGUGGAAAGAGCACACUGAAUUUUGUUUCUUUACUAAACACCAAGAAACAAAGUGAGGGUCAGAAAGUGACACGUAGCACUUGAUACUUUACGAUCAAUUUUUGCACCCUGCAAAAAUCUGAAUCGGAAUAAUUAUAAAUCCAAUGAAGGUGAAUUUAGGAUAAUAUAAAACCUAGGAUCUAUUGUGCAAAGUAAUAUCGAAAAAAGUCUUUUAACAGCAAUUAAAUGUGAUUUUUUUGAAAAAUGAUGAAAUCUAGCACCAAAGUAAACAUAAACAUGAAUCUUGGCCUACUGGCAUUAAAUAUAGUAAACACUACCAAUCAUCCUCUAUAUGAUAAUAUUCAACAUUUUUUUAUUUUAGAUUGUAUCAAGUUUAGUUGUUGAAUUUAUUGGGGUUGCAUAAAAGUUUGAAUCUUCUAUCCCAAAUUUUUUGAGAAAUCUUUUAAUAUUUAGAUUGGUUGAUUAAAGAUUUCAUUUUUACGUUUGUUGAAUUUGAAGGACCAAGAGACAAAAUUUAGUUCACCAAUCAGACUCAUUUUUAAAUUUUUUUGCAUAAUUUUUGAAAAUUCACCACUACAUAUGUUCUCAUUUGAUUGAUCGAAAAAUGAUAUCACAACAUAUAUUGCACAAUAAGUAAAUUAUCAUUUUUUAUUUUGCGUAACAAAGUAGUGUCAAUUUUUCUCUUGUAAGCCUUUCAAAAGAAAUCACUUACUCUUUCAUACCAGCUCUUGGGGCUUGUUUUAGCUAACAAGGGCUUUGUCAAUUUAAAAACAUCGAUUUGGAAAUUCGUGAUUUUCAAAAUUAGUGUGUUCCACAUAAAACUCUGUCAGAAAAUGAGACAAUUUAAAAUGCAAUUUACACCAUUUGAAAUAAUUUAAAAAUCUUUAUAGAAGCAAAAAAAGCUAAUAGCAUCUAUAACUUCAAGUCGACCUACGGGGGCAAAGGUUGUCUUAUAAUCAAACCUUUCUUCUUGGUGAAAAUCUUGGGCUACUAACUAGCUUUUAGUUUUAGAUAAUACCAUUUUUAUCCUUUUUGUUACGAAAAAACCCAGUUUGUUUCAAAAUUGAUUGCUGUGUAGGUCUAGCGAACCAAUGUCCAAAUAUGUUCCUUUCAAUUGGUUAAAGUUCUUUUCCUAUGGGCCAUUUAACCAAAACUCAUCGAGUUUCAGCUUUUUCAAUAGUUUUAGGUCAAUUUCUGACACAAAAUCCUGUAUUACACACAUUUCUAAGUGAAGAUCGUGUGAUUACACCUGUGAGGGGGGGUCACCUAGAAUUUGAUCAAUGGGGUGAUCUUUAAUAAUUUUUCAAAAGAUUUAGGAAACUGUUGAUCUUUUCAAGAUUAGAGCAUGUUUUCAUUGAUUUCUCUUUUUUAGAGUCUUGAGAGGUUUGAUAUUCAUCUUGAUAUUAUAAUAUUAUUUUCUAUAGCACUAAUAUCGUCAUAUCAUCAAUUGUUCUUAGACUGAAAGAAUCAAUUUCCAUCAAAAUGACAUGUAUAGACUCUUUAAUAGUUAAAGUUUCUUUUGUUAUAAACUCUAUAAGAUUGUGCUAUUAAUAGAAUAUCCAAGAAAUAUGCCUUUAUUAGGAUUUGACAUCAAACUUACCUAAAUUGUCUUUGGCAUUUAGAAUAAAAGCAUUACAAACCAAUAUUGGGUGUUCUUCCUUUCCAAAGCUCGUAGGAGGUCUUUUCAAUUUUUGAUAUAAUUAAACUACAAGAUUGAUAAUACUAAACAAGCUGUAUUUACAGCUCUUGCAAAAAUACUUAGGUUAAAUUAAUGUUCAUUUAACAUGAUUCUAGCCAUUUUUGAAGAGAUCUAUUUUUACGUUCAAUAACUCUAUUUUAUUAGGUGUUCUGGUGCAGAGAAGGUUGCUGUUGCAUCCAUGUCAGCAAAAUUUUUUAAUAUAUUGAUUAUCAAAUUCUCUACCUCUGCACUACGAAUAUGGUGGAUAAUGCAACCUUUUCAUUUUGUGCUUUUUACCACAUUUUGCCAAAUGCAAUGUGUGCUUCAUUUUUUGUGAGAAGAAAUAAUUAACCAUGUUAAACGUGAAAAAAUCCAACAAAUACACUGCAUAUUAAUUUCACCAAGACUAGCAACUUAUUGGCGACACGUGCCAAAAACAAAUCAAUAUGAGAAGUUGAAGUGGGACUAGAGGUUGGAAGGAAAUAUAUUUGUUCUUUGGCAAAAGAGAUUUAUUUGUUUGUCUAGUUGACAUGCAUCACAAAUUUAUCGUAACAAAACUUGAUUUUAUGUAAACCUUAACUAAAUCAUUGAUUGUUUAAUUUUAUGAAGUAAAAACCAUGCUAGCAUAUUUCUAAUCUCAAUUGCCCAUAACCAACUUGGGUUUUCAUUAUAGCCGCAAGGAAAUUUAACAUCGUGAUAACUAGACUAUCAAAAUCAAAUGUGGUAUACAUUUUAAUAAUCUAGAUUAAAAAAGAUGCGAUAAAAUACUAUUUUAUUAUUAAGAGCAUGCAUAAAUAUGCAUAAUUUUUAUCAAUAUAACCUUUAUAGUUUACACAUAAUUGGUUAUACUUAUUAGAUAUGCUUAAGGCCAUCAACAAGUGUAAAACAUUUUCAAUGCAUAGAUGACAGAUGUAAUUGUUAAAUUGUCCAAUCCAAUAAGUUGCUUCUUGAAUUAUUACCAAUGUGACAAAUCCUCCAUCCUGGUGCUGAAAGAUGAAACGUUUGGAAUUUGUCUUGAGCAAGCGUUGUCCCAAUAAAUCAAUUUAUCCGAGCUCCCCAUAUGACUUAAGGCAUUACCUACAAAAAAGUAUCAAUUAACUCUUUUGGGACCCAAAUUUCUUGGGUCCGUGAAGGUCAGAUUUACGUACAUUAUUUGUUUGGGUACCCAAGCGAUGAGUCUGUUCCAAUGGUUAAAUUUUAGAUUUGAUCCCUUAUAAUUUAUCUUGUGAAGAGCUUUAUUUAUAGGAUAAGCAUCUUGCUCAAUUGUCCAUUUCUUCCAUAUGACUUAUAAGUAGUGAAGGAAGGAAUUGAAAAAAGAUUUCUUUAUCAAAGAAGAAAUUUUUAAAAAAUUUUUGUUUCAUUCUUAGGCGGCAUAUCACAAACCUCCUGAUUAAGAAGGGGCCACACUUUGUCUUCCAAGUAGCAUUAUCUGAAGUUUCUUUUGCCAUUACAAAUUUUGCGUAGGUUUUGUUUAGAAGUCUUUAAUGGUUUCUUUUACCUAGUAUUUCUUCUUCUAAAAUUAUUGACGAUUGAUCUUGGAGGGAAGAUUUUUUUUAUUAUUAUUUUUGAGUAAAUUUUUUCAUUUUCAUUUCAAAGUGAGUAGUAAGUAACUAUCUCAUUCAAAAAAUUCAGUUUCUUUCUUUUUAAGAGUGAGUGUAUUAGCAUGUAGUUUAUGUAUUUUCCACUAGGAUAUUCAUAGAUAUCUUGAAAUUCUUCAUUAAGAGGUUAAUUCAUCAUCAGUAUGUUAAAAUACUUAACUCAUCUCCUUUUGCCAUGAGGCAAACAUUAGCCAUCUCAUUUUCGCUCUCCUUCUUAUUCUUUAAUUCGCUUCCUUCUGAAUAAUCCUAAGUCACCUUCAAGGCUUUUCUUUUGAAUACUUUCCUUCCUUCUGUAAGGCGGAGCAAUCUGAUUUAUAGUGUCCAAGUUGUGGCCCUCGAAGCAAGUUGGAGGAUGGAUCCUUUUUGCUUAGUUCGCUGUUAAAGAGUCUUUAUGUAAGUUAUGCUUUUAUUGAAUGUUUUCUCCUUCUUCAUAAACUUUUUGAAUCUGUUGUUUGAGAUUGCCGAUUUCUUUAAAUCGUUGUCACUCUCCUCUUCUUCUUCCUUAUUUCUUGAUGAGAGGAUUUGAGUGCAAGACUUCUUUGGGGGUGUGUGUCGGGGGUGGUUGCUUCUUUUUCCUUCUCGUCGCUUUGCAACAUGAUCUCAUUAUUAUUGAGUGAACCCAAAGAGUUCAUCAAACUCAAUCCGUUGUGAGAUCGUAUAGCUUCUUCAAUAGCUAUGACUUUUGCAUCCCCCAAUGUUUGGCAGGGACCCCUAGAAUUUUUCCACAUUUUUCACAUUUAUAUAACAUUUGCCAGAAUUUUAAAUGAAUUUAUAAUAUUAUAAAUCUUGUAAACAUUCAGAAAUAGAUUUUUUAGAUUUCAUACCAAAUAAUUAACUCAUGAACUUAACCUACUAAUUUUAGUCUUUUACUUGAUUUGUAUCUUCAUAGUUACUUCAAUUUAAUCCCAUAUUUGUGCUGUUUGCGGAUUCGCAGGGCAGAGAUUUAGUUAAAGUCAUUUGCAUUUAAACGCACAUAUAACAGAUUUUAUUGCUUUAGCAUUAAGUUGAAAUUAAGCGUGAACAUCUAUUUUUUUAUUCCAUUCUUUCUCAUUUAAUGACUUUUGUCUUAUCACUCUUUCGUGGGAUAUAGGGAACCAUCCAGAAUAAUUUUUUCAGCCUCAUAAUCCAGACUUUGAAUGUAAAUUCUCAUCCUAUCUUUCAAUAUGUAUAAGGAUUCUCAUACAUAAAGGAGGCCUAUUUGAGGAGUGCCCCUUCGGCGAAGAUCAUUUUAUUUGUGUUUGCCAUGUCGUAUCUCUUGGAUGUUUAACCAAAUAUUAGAGGUUAGGCUCUGAUACCAAUUGUUGCCCAAGAUAAUCAACCCUAGGGGGUGAAUAGGGUUAUUGGCAAACUUUUUUUAAUUAAUAAAAUUAUACUGAAUUAAAGUUUAGAAUAAUUAAGAAGCAUACAAUCAAAAAAUAAAUGAGCACAAAAAAAAAUAUAGGGAAUAGAUUUCAAAACUCGGCGGUUUAUACUGGUUCCGGUUCUACUGCCUACUCCACUCCCCAAGCACACCACUUGAGAUUUUCAAUCUACUAAUUUCACACUCCUUGCGGGUGGAUUUAAACCUUUAUACGCCACGAGCACCCCCACUCUUCUUCCAAUGUGAAAAAUCCCUUCACACCUCACAAGGUCCACACCACCCUCAAGGGGUCCACACCAACCCUUUUGAAAAUAAUCAAUUGUUGUUAGGAUUUGAGAUUCUCUCACAAUAACAAUUCUCCUUUUUGAGAGGUAUACAAAUGAAGCUUUUACAGAUAUCUCUCACUAGAACUUUUGUAUAAUUAAAACUUGAAAGGCUCAAAGGAAAUUGAAUAUAUGAAAAGGAAGAAUACUUUGAGUCUAAGCUUGUUGUUUCUAUUUUGAUUGUACAAAAAUGAGAGCUAAUGAUAUGUAUUUAAUCGCCUUAAAAAGAAUAUAACCAUUGGAAAGAGUUGAAAUUUGCUAGUUAAUUUCCAAAUUGGAAUCCACAUUUUCCAAGUCAGAAUUGUUGCUAUCUAAUUUUUAAAGUUGGCAACCCAUUUUCAAAGUCAAAAUUAUUGCUACCAUUUUUAAAGUUGGCAACCCAUUUUCAAAGUUAGAAUUGUUGCUAACCAAUUUUUUAAACUAGGAAAUCACAUUUUCAAAUUCAUAAAUUGUUGCUAACCAAUUUUUCAAACUUUUGAAUCAAAUUUUCACAAGUUAAAAAAAAUUGUUGGUAACCACAUUUUUUCAAAGUUGGAAUCAAAUUUUCAAAGUCAAAAUUGUUUUGCUAAUAUUUGUUCAAAUUGCAAUCACCUUUUCAAGUCAGAAAUUAUUGCUAUUUAUUUUUUCAAACUUGAAAUCAAA
rnacentral:lncRNA from 1 species